rnacentral:snRNA from 1 species
AUGGCUUCUCGGCCUUUUGGCUAAGAUCAAAUGUAGUAUCUGUUCUUACCAGUUUAAUAUCUGAUACGUCCUCUAUCCGAGGACAAUAUAUUAAAUGAAUUUUUGGAUCAGAGAGAUGAAAUAGAAGCUUGCUCCGUCCGCUCCAUGCAUAGACCUGAUAUUGCAGUACCUCCAGAGAAUAGUGCAUCCCCU